GGUGCCUUGCAGAAGGGUGACUCCAGAUCUCAGCACACAGCAUGGAGACCUGCGUUUCGUCUAUGCUUAGAUGGACACUGGGCCGUACCCUGUUUGCUUUCCCUGGGCUUGUCCUUAAACAAACACACGAAAUUAUUAUUACACUUGUAAAAAAAGGCUUAGCUUGCGGUGAUUGGCGCAGGCUUUUAAUCCCAGCACUAGGAGUUCAAGGCAAACCUGGUUUAUACAGCCAGGCCAACCAGGGCUAAAUAGUGAGACCCUGUCUCAAUCAACCAAUCAGUCAAUCAAUCAAUAAAAGAAAAGAGAAAUAUAU
rnacentral:lncRNA from 1 species